UACGUAGGGUGCAAGCGUUAAUCGGAAUUACUGGGCGUAAAGCGUGCGCAGGCGGUCGUUCAAGUCGCGUGUGAAAGCCCCCGGCUCAACUGGGGAGGGUCACGCGAUACUGAUCGACUCGAAGGCAGGAGAGGGAAGUGGAAUUCCCGGUGUAGUGGUGAAAUGCGUAGAUAUCGGGAGGAACACCAGUGGCGAAGGCGACUUCCUGGCCUGUUCUUGACGCUGAGGCGCGAAAGCUAGGGGAGCAAACGGGG
rnacentral:rRNA from 1 species